rnacentral:rRNA from 1 species
GAUGAACGCUGGCGGCGUGCCUAAUACAUGCAAGUCGAGCGAACAGAUGAGGAGCUUGCUCCUCUGACGUUAGCGGCGGACGGGUGAGUAACACGUGGAUAACCUACCUAUAAGACUGGGAUAACUUCGGGAAACCGGAGCUAAUACCGGAUAAUAUAUUGAACCGCAUGGUUCAAUAGUGAAAGACGGUUUUGCUGUCACUUAUAGAUGGAUCCGCGCCGCAUUAGCUAGUUGGUAAGGUAACGGCUUACCAAGGCGACGAUGCGUAGCCGACCGGAGAGGGUGAUAGGCCACACGGGAGCUGAGACAGGGUCCAGAGGCCUACGGGAGGCAGCAGUAGGGAAUCUUCCGCAAUGGGCGAAAGCCUGACGGAGCAACGCGGCGUGAGUGAUGAAGGUCUUCGGAUCGUAAAACUCUGUUAUUAGGGAAGAACAAAUGUGUAAGUAACUAUGCACGUCUUGACGGUACCUAAUCAGAAAGCCACGGCUAACUACGUG